UACGUAGGGGGCAAGCGUUGCUCGGAAUUACUGGGCGUAAAGGGUGAGUAGGCGGUCGAGCAAGUCAAGGAUGAAAUCCCGAGGCCCAACUUCGGAAUUGUUCUUGAAACUGCUCGGCUUGAGGGUAGUUGAGGAGAGUGGAAUUCCCGGUGGAGCGGUGAAAUGCGUAGAUAUCGGGAGGAACACCUGAGGCGAAGGCGGCUCUCUAAACUACUCCUGACGCUGAAUCACGAAAGCUAGGGGAGCAAACGGGAUUAGAUACCCCGGUAGUCCUAGCCGUAAACGAUGGACACUGGAUAUUCCGGCAUUUCUGCUGGAGUGUCGUAGCUAACGCGUUAAGUGUCCCGCCUGGGGAGUACGAUCGCAAGGUUGAA
rnacentral:rRNA from 1 species